rnacentral:rRNA from 1 species
UAGGGANUNUUCCACAAUGGGCGCAAGCCUGAUGGAGCAACACCGCGUGAGUGAAGAAGGGUUUCGGCUCGUAAAGCUCUGUUGUUAAAGAAGAACACGUAUGAGAGUAACUGUUCAUACGUUGACGGUAUUUAACCAGAAAGUCACGGCUAACUACGUGCCAGCAGCCGCGGUAAUACGUAGGUGGCAAGCGUUAUCCGGAUUUAUUGGGCGUAAAGAGAGUGCAGGCGGUUUUCUAAGUCUGAUGUGAAAGCCUUCGGCUUAACCGGAGAAGUGCAUCGGAAACUGGAUAACUUGAGUGCAGAAGAGGGUAGUGGAACUCCAUGUGUAGCGGUGGAAUGCGUAGAUAUAUGGAAGAACACCAGUGGCGAAGGCGGCUACCUGGUCUGCAACUGACGCUGAGACUCGAAAGCAUGGGUAGCGAACAGGAUUAGAUACCCUGGUAGUCCAUGCCGUAAACGAUGAGUGCUAGGUGUUGGAGGGUUUCCGCCCUUCAGUGCCGGAGCUAACGCAUUAAGCACUCCGCCUGGGGAGUACGACCGCAAGGUUG